CACGGCGCCCUGCCCCCUGGACAGCCCCGAGAUGCGCUGCGCUGGCGGCGUCGGCCGCUGCUCUGCACCGGGAGUCUGCUGCUUCAAAGACUCAUGCCACAUUGAUACUUCGUGUGUCGCUGAUACAACUGAUUCCACCGAUCGGUAUCCACUGGACACGUUUGUUGUCAGCGACGGUGACCGUGACGAGAUGAGAAUAUAAUUAUGCAGCAUGUAAUAUUUGAAAUUCUGAUAAUAAAUGCAAUUCUGAUAAACUUUGAAA